CCACCAAUUAAGAAAAUGAAGAUAUUGUGAGGCACUCAUAGUAGAGGACUCUAACCACCCCAUCCCACUCCCAACGAUGGAAGAAAAUGAAGUGUAGGGCGAAAUCAUUGAGACAGUCAAAGUAAAAGACUCUUUUAACCCUUCACCCCCACAUUAGGACUUUGAACAUCGGAUAAAACAUUGGGGUUUAUCCAAUGUGGAUAAACCUGGUUAUUUUGUGCAGGUCAUAUUCAAAGCUCUAUUUAAAUUCUUACUGUUUUAAUUAAUUUAAAUCGGGUUCAGUAGGUAUACUAGCUUUCACUUCCUUUAAUCUGCGCAUGUCUUUUAGAUUAUUCCUUUCCAUUUCGUAGUUUGAAAGGUGCAGACGCAUAAUUAUUUUUUGAAUUGUAAUCUGUAGUAAUCCUGCGAGUUUUGGUCAGUUAAGACAGAGAUGCUCCGGGCAGCGAGGAAAACAAAAGAAAAGAGUCUGUAUUACAGGACAAAAGCAGUAAAUUAGGCUGUAAAUUACCGUCCUAGAAAGCGGCGAGUAGCAGCUACUGUGACUCGUGCCAACGCCGCCAUAUUGCAACCUGAUAGCUGAUGAGACUGAAGAUGCAGCUCCGGGGUGAUGCAGGGUUCGAGACCGGCAAUGUUUCAAGGCGCAGUUCUGGUGGUUAUGCAGAGUGCGACACCAUUGUUGUUACCAAAUCGGCCUAUAUAUACAGCACCGGCGGUGACGCAGACUACAAUGCAGACGGAGCUGAGGCACUGGUCGUGAUUCAGCCCGUUUCGAGGCUAUAGCUCUAUAUCGACUGCCUUAACGUUCGAGGAUUCGGGUACAAAUACUUGCAGAGAGAGAGUGAGGUACCAUAUGCUUCUUCUAUAUCAAGGAGGCAUCUAUUAGUUACCCAGACAUUAAUGCACAGCAAAGGGCUUUAUCCAGGCAGGAUGGGGUUCGUAUAUAUCACGUUAUCAAUACAUUCUUCAGUGCAUUGCAUCACUAUUAGUGUAACAUUUCUUUACCUACAUUCUCCUGAUAUAAAAAAUCAACCCCCGGACAGUAUCUUCAAAUUGUAGUUGAAUGGGGUGGAAUUCAUCUUUUUCAUCGUCAAUGCUUGUCGUGUGUCAUUUUGCAAGUGCAGUUUAUCAUUCAAAUUGCAUUGGCAAAAUAGAAAUUUAAUGUUUUUCAUCAAUUGUGGAGUCAGACAAAUUACUCAGUGUGCUACCAUCUGUACUUCAGUGUUCUGAAGCAUUAUCUGCGCUUUCAUAUAUAUCCUUUUAUAUAUAGAGAGAGAGAGAGAGAGUGAGGUACCAUAUGUACCAAAAUAUAUUCUUAUAUAUAGAGGGGUACCAUCUGUACCAAAAUAUAUCUAUAUGUAUAAAGGGGUACCGUCUGUACCAAAAUAUAUCUAUAUGUAUAGAGGGGUACUGUACCAAAAUAUAUCUAUAUGUGUAGAGGGGUACCAUCUGUACCAAAAUAUAUCUAUAUGUAUAAAGGGGUACCGUCUGUACCAAAAUAUAUCUAUAUGUAUAGAGAGGUACCAUCUGUACCAAAAUAUAUCUAUAUGUAUAGAGGGGUACUGUACCAAAAUAUAUCUGUAUGUAUAAAGGGGUACCAUCUGUACCAAAAUAUAUCUAUAUGUAUAGAGGGGUACCAUCUGUACCAAAAUAUAUCUACAGUGUAUAUGUAUAAAGGGGUACCAUCUGUACCAAAAUAUAUCUAUAUGUAUAAAGGGGUACCAUCUGUACCAAAAUAUAUCUAUAUGUAUAGAGGGGUACUGUACCAAAAUAUAUCUGUAUGUAUAAAGGGGUACCAUCUGUACCAAAAUAUAUCUGUAUGCAUAAAGGGGUACCAUCUGUACCAAAAUCUACAUAUGGAGUGGUACCAUCUGUACCAAAAUUAUCUGCUUUUCAAAUUUAGUAUGGAAGCACCAGCUGUGUUUCCGUAUUUAUAUAUAUUAUUGAUACCAUCUGUAUCCAAAGUAGUUAUGUAUUUGUUUCGGGGCUGCAAAAUUGCCGCCCACCUUGGUUGUGGCGGAUGGAUCUUGGGACGACGUCCCGUGACCCAUUUGGCAUAAUUUUGCAUAGAUUGCUGUCUCCUGGGGGUACUGUUUUUUCCAGGCCCCCUGGAUCAAGAUGGUACUUCUAUUGCUGAAUGUUUAUGCUGCCAAAUAUUUCUCAUCGGCGCAUACAUUUGUUCAUUAUUUGUAUUUUCCUGAUGUAUUUUAUUUCUAUUAAAUGCAUGGCCAUGACAAACACGCCAAAACACAAUUUUGCUUAUUCAAUUGUUAUCAACUUUAAGGGUGUUUUUGAUCAAUGUGUUCUGUCGUUGUUUAUAUUUGAAACUGUCACAAAAUAACGGGGUUUAUCCAAUGUGGAUAAACCUGGUUAUUUUGUGCAGGUCAUAUUCAAAGCUCUAUUUAAAUUCUUACUGUUUUAAUUAAUUUAAAUCGGGUUCAGUAGGUAUACUAGCUUUCUCUUCCUUUAAUCUGCGCAUGUCUUUUAGAUUAUUCCUUUCCAUUUCGUAGUUUGAAAGGUGCAGACGCACAAUUAUUUUUUGAAUCCCCCUCUCCCCCCCCCCCCCCCCCCCCCCCAUUACCGAAACUUUAGUAUAUCUAGUUAAACUAAGUUAUUGGCAUUCUUCAGUUCUGAAUACAAUGUAGUUAAUGUUCCAUUUCACCACAAGCCUCCUCUUUUUAAUCUAAGAAAUAUUGUACUUUAGUAAUGUAGUUAUAGUUCCGGUUGUCGCUUUCGGUUUGUUAAUUUCUCUUUUCAGCGUCAUGGCUUGGAUCUCUUGGCUCCUGCGGUGUUGAAAGAGUUCCAGAACGGUGUUUGGAGAUUAAGGGUCCCAUGUGUGUCUCCUAUGUUUGGUGAUUGACGAUGAGCAUAAUUUUGCAUAGAUUGCUGUCUCCUGGGGGUACUGUUUUUUCCAGGCCCCCUGGAUCAAGAUGGUACUUCUAUUGCUGAAUGUUUAUGCUGCCAAAUAUUUCUCAUCGGCGCAUACAUUUGUUCAUUAUUUGUAUUUUCCUGAUGUAUUUUAUUUCUAUUAAAUGCAUGGCCAUGACAAACACGCCAAAACACAA